GCCACGUUCCACAGUAGCGACUCCAAGGUUGUACGGUUUAAGAGCUUGUAACGUAGUGCUUGAAACAGGUCGCAGUGGUCCUUUAAACCAGGUGCUUUCAGCAGUGCCUUCAUUAACGGUUUUUUGAUAUUCCUUCAGGUAAUUAGCAAACUUUGUAGCCAAAUGAUAUUGGUCGACACUGAUAACAAGCAACCAUUUCCAUAUUUUAGUUACAAGGUCAUUCAAAACUUUAGGCUGGACGAUAGAAGUGUCUACCUCCUUUGUUUUUGCAGCGUAAAUCAAUCGCAGUAAACUUGCAGAUGCAAAACCCGCGUGAAACAAGACAUGAUCGGAGCAACGAGACAUAUCGUAAGCUGACAAUUCAAAAAUUGCAUCAAUUGUUUUUAGCGCAUAACUUUGCACCAUGCUAACAUACCGCGGUAUGUUCGCAAAGUCAUUACCAUCCGUAGCUGUUUGGAUGCUGGCCUCGUAAACGACAUUGUAGGAAUAAAAAUAGGCAAUCCGAGAAUAUUGCGGCUCGGGUUGUUCCCAAAGAUGACACCAUUCCUUGCGCCAUUCUUCAAGCUGAAAUAUUGCAUAAUCCAAAUCGAGGGUAGGGGAUCGCAGCAUUCUGUAUAGCAUGGAGUAUACAGAGAGCAUUCCCAAAAUGUUUCCGUCAAAUUCAUUAGCCUUAGUAUUUGUUAAUAUAUUACGACAAUCAUCAAAAGUAUUUUCAUCCAACAUAGCAUGACGACGAUAUCCCAUGCACAUAACCAAAUGACCAUGGCAGAGGUGAUUCCACGUUCUUGCGGGAACGAUAUCGAGAUAAGUUAGUGUAGCGCUAGAUCCCGCAAAACCGUUGAACCAUCCCUUGGUGCUCGAAAGCGUUCUGUGUUGCAAAGCAAACCCGCUGAGGAGCCAGAGAUCUUGUUUUUGGGAAAGCCGAAGCGGUCGAUAAAGGGUUAGCAUAGAUACAGCCUCGAAAAACUGUAGGGAAGGUGAAGUAGUGAGCAAUUCCUCUGAGAUAAGGCGGUCCACGAUGUUUAGUACGUCCGUGUAAAUCCUAGCUUUCAGAGAGGGAUUGUGUCUUAAAGCAAUGAGACAAGCGGUUGCAAGCAUCAAAUGUGAUUUUGUGUAUAGUAGUUCCAUGUACUGGGAAGCACUGUAGUCGACAGAGAGCCAGCGCUUACCAUAGCGCUCUAUAAAAAUUUCCAAGAGCAAUUCGAUUUCAUCCAUGGAGAGUAAACCCUGGAGGAAAACGUCUUUUUCGGAUUUGAGGGAAAUCUGGCCUGCAAUAGGAGAAUUUGUGAUAGAACUGAUGGCCUUCUCCAAUACCUUGAGUCUAUAAUAAGCAGUUUAGUAAAUUUGUUAGUUUGAAAGAUGGUAUUACAACAACAAGACUACAGUAAGAGGAAUGGGUUUUUAAAAAGUCUUAAGAAUAAAACAAAUAUAUUCAUACCUGUUUUCUAGUUUUGAGUUGAUAUUCGCGC